rnacentral:rRNA from 1 species
GGACUGGGAUAACCUUGGGAAACUGAGGCUAAUACCGGAUAGGCAAUUUUUCCUGUAAUGGUUUUUUGUUUAAAUGUUUUUUCGCCUAAGGAUGGGUCUGCGGCCGAUUAGGUAGUUGGUUAGGUAAUGGCUUACCAAGCCGUUGAUCGGUACGGGUUGUGAGAGCAAGAGCCCGGAGAUGGAACCUGAGACAAGGUUCCAGGCCCUACGGGGUGCAGCAGGCGCGAAACCUCCGCAAUGUGAGAAAUCGCGACGGGGGGAUCCCAAGUGCCAUUCUUAACGGGAUGGCUUUUCAUUAGUGUAAAGAGCUUUUGGAAUAAGAGCUGGGCAAGACCGGUGCCAGCCGCCGCGGUAACACCGGCAGCUCUAGUGGUAGCAAUUUUUAUUGGGCCUAAAGCGUCCGUAGCCGGUUUAAUAAGUCUCUGGUGAAAUCCUGUAGCUUAACUGUGGGAAUUGCUGGAGAUACUAUUAGACUUGAGACCGGGAGAGGUUGGAGGUACUCCCAGGGUAGAGGUGAAAUUCUGUAAUCCUGGGAGGACCGCCUGUUGCGAAGGCGUCUAACUGGAACGGUUCUGACGGUGAGGGACGAAAGUUAGGGGCGCGAACCGGAUUAGAUACCCGGGUAGUCCUAACUGUAAACGAUGCGGACUUGGUGUUGGGGUGGCUUUGAGCUGCUCCAGUGCCGAAGGGAAGCUGUUAAGUCCGCCGCCUGGGAAGUACGGUCGCAAGACUGAAACUUAA